rnacentral:rRNA from 1 species
GGUGAGUAACACGUGGGUAACCUGCCUGUAAGACUGGGAUAACUCCGGGAAACCGGGGCUAAUACCGGAUGCUUGAUUGAACCGCAUGGUUCAAUUAUAAAAGGUGGCUUUAAGCUACCACUUACAGAUGGACCCGCGGCGCAUUAGCUAGUUGGUGAGGUAACGGCUCACCAAGGCRACGAUGCGUAGCCGACCUGAGAGGGUGAUCGGCCACACUGGGACUGAGACACGGCCCAGACUCCUACGGGAGGCAGCAGUAGGGAAUCUUCCGCAAUGGACGAAAGUCUGACGGAGCAACGCCGCGUGAGUGAUGAAGGUUUUCGGAUCGUAAAACUCUGUUGUUAGGGAAGAACAAGUACCGUUCGAAUAGGGCGGUACCUUGACGGUACCUAACCAGAAAGCCACGGCUAACUACGUGCCAGCAGCCGCGGUAAUACGUAGGUGGCAAGCGUUGUCCGGAAUUAUUGGGCGUAAAGCGCGCGCAGGCGGUUUCUUAAGUCUGAUGUGAAAGCCCCCGGCUCAACCGGGGAGGGUCAUUGGAAACUGGGGAACUUGAGUGCAGAAGAGGAGAGUGGAAUUCCACGUGUAGCGGUGAAAUGCGUAGAGAUGUGGAGGAACACCAGUGGCGAAGGCGACUCUCUGGUCUGUAACUGACGCUGAGGCGCGAAAGCGUGGGGAGCGAACAGGAUUAGAUACCCUGGU